CUCAGAUCUUUCUGAGACAUCCCCAGAAAGCGUUGCAAGCUGUGAUUACACCUAAUGUGAGAGCAUGAACUAAUUUAAGAGGUACCUAAAAUGUCUCAUUAUUCAUCAAUUAAUGAAAAACAAAUGAAAAUUUGAGAGAGAUAUUCUGAAGAAUAAAAGGAUCAAGUUGGGUCAUUUCUAAAAUCUCAGAGACCUAAUAGGAUGGGGUCUUAGAGAAACAUCUUUUGAGCCACAGACUUCUUUGUUACCAGAAGGAAAAUGAAAGAAGAAAUUUAAAUACCACUUGAAGAGAGGUGAGAACCCUUUGUUAAGCUGUGUAACCUCUGUGCAUAGUUUCCUCAUCAGCAAAGUCAGAAAAAGUAUGUACCUGAAGGACUGAUUGUAAGGCUGGGAUGAGAGAAUCCAUGUGAUCAGCCCUCACCAACAGGUGCUGCCCAGUUCAUGAGUGCUGCUGCUGUCCUGCCCAAGUACCCAGCUUGCAGAGUGCCAGAGUUAGAGUCCCAGGGGUGUUCUCCACAGCUGCAUGCUUGAUCCAGGCCUAUCAGGUGUUAUUUGUUGACGGAACCAGGCAUCAUCAGCAAACAAAACUGACAAAGCUUCCUGCCCUCUGUGGAAGGCAUCUGAGGAAGAGACUGGAUUUUGUAGCAACAUGUUAUUCUCAUUAUAAACUUUAUCAUUGGAAUACUAAAGCCAAAUCAUCCCCCAUCUCCUUGAUCAGGAUACCCACUUAAUCUAGGCAGCUACACAAUUGUGAGAGCCUUUGUUUUUUUCUGCUGAAACAUCCUUAAAAAGAUACCUCACAACCCAAGAUUUGGCUUUUCUUAAAUACGAUUUUUAAUUUUUUUCAUUUCUAUCUAGAGAUUUAAUUGGAAAUGGAAAAUCAUCAAUUUUCCAAUUAAAUGUCUGUUCCAAUCAACAUUAUACCUUUUAGGUUGUCAUUGUCAUUUUUAAGUUUAAGCAACUUUAAGGAUUUUGAAUCUGGCUGCCUGUAAAUUAAAGGUGAAAGUAAUCAUUGUGUUGGAUUGGAACAUUUUGUCAAUUGAGAGUGGUUUCCUUGUUCUUAGUGUAUGAAAAGUUUAUUUUUCUAAUGUAGAUUAAUAAAGGAGAUAAAGAAAAACAAAA
rnacentral:lncRNA from 1 species